UCAACCCACUCCCUGCUCCUUCUGCAGUAAACUUUAAUUAACCACAGAAACACUGAAUUGGAGACACUCGCCGAGCAUAACAAGUUACAGAGAUGGAGAAGUCUAAGGUCUUGCACCUCAGGUGCUGGAGAUACAGUUAUAAUGCCAGAGGGAAGAAGCCAACUAUCUUGACUCAUAUGGAGAGGUCUAUUCUUUUCUUCACUGCAUGGAGGAGUUGUGGUUGUGUUGGACACACAUACUUGGAACACAAUUAUAAACUGUGAGGUUGUAAAUUAUACAACCUCAGCCUAGAUCAAUCCACACAAGUGGUCCAUUUCCUGGACACUACUGUGCUAAUAAGCGAUGGUCACAUAAAUACCACCCUAUACCGGAAACCUA